rnacentral:rRNA from 1 species
AUUUUGAUUUAUUGCAGCCCGUUUACAUUUGGCCCACCUGCUGAUCUCAGAAGCUAAGCAGGGCUGGGUCUGGUUAGUACUUGGAUGGGAGACCGCUGGGAAUCCCACAGUGGGCCAACAGU